UUUGCAGGUUCUUGAAAACGAAUCUGUACACCGUUGGCAGCGUGGAGUAACAAAGGUCUUCGUUCGUAAUCCCUAAAAAUCGUAAUCUCACGAAGAAAGAUCGAGAACGGCCGCUCUCUCCCUUGUAAAAUAAAUCAGACUGGAAGCGUUGGGUCGACUGCGGCGUCGGACGGACGCGUGGAAAGAUGAAACAUCGUGCGGUUUGAAGAGUCAUCGACGCCAUGACGAAGCUCGACGGAGGGACAGUUUUGGGCAAACAGCUCUCACUGAUAUCUUUUGUUUUUCCGAACACUGUGUGACUAACAGUCCACAAUCGCCGUGUUCGUUAUUCGAAUUCCGUCCUCCCGUGUCGCAUUGGGUCUAAAACCAGGUGCUUCGACUAUGUUUUCCAUGUAAUUAGUCAUCGUUGGAGGAUGCACGUAGCGGAAAGGAAGAAUGAGUCUUGUCUCCUGUCUUGCUUGAACAUUUUCCAUCGAGGAAUUUAGUGCACGAACGGCGAACUGAUUGUAAAGUAAAUUUGACAGUGGCCCAGUAGCACUGUCAAACUAUCACGCGUACAACAAACUGCAUUCCCAUUUUACUGGAUUUACGAUUUUGUUACCAUUAUACCGCACCGUAGUUUGUAUAAGAAUGCUGCCAGAACGAUAGUAAUAUAUGUAUAUAUAUACUGAUUUACAUACACUUUACAUUCUCUUACAUUUAAUACUCCACAUAGUUGCGUUAUGAUCAUGUGGCAGGAAAUGCGAAUAAUACAAAGCUCAAGGAUUAAUUAACAUGUGCAUAAAGGUCGAAUAGACGUGGAAUGAGGAAAACAAUGGUGUUGUUUGCAUCGGUUAAAUCAUUUCUUCGAUCGACGACGCGUUAUCGGGAUUGAAUAUUUCUUUUUCAUUUUUUUUUUUUUCCCAGCGUGUUCGAUCAUACGAUGACUGACAGGCAGAGCGGCGCGCCGGCUGGGGCCAUGACAAACAAUGGCGUAUUCCAUUAGGUCUGCCAUGAGAAUUAACCAGCCAGCCAUAACCAGGUGCUCGCCGGGUCCAACAUUGGAUCGAGCUCGGCCGCCUUGACCACCGCAUUCGUUGCGCCCGACGAGAAUCAAUCACUCUGCUAAACAUACCAGCUCGAUUCGUAGGAACUAGCACCGCCGGCACGCCUCGAAUAACAACCACCGCGAGAUGAACGCGUAUUUUUAGCCAAGGCAUUAGCCAAUUAACUAUUAACUCGUUGGCGCCACGACGCUGCUCCUAUUUUUGCUUAUUUCUUCACGCGGGUAGUUGCAUCGUUGCACCUCUUCCGAAUCCUCGCCGCGUUUCACCGAAAAUAAUCCGAUCUAACUCAAGUCAAGUGCCGUCUCCCGAAUAAUUAUACGCGCGAAAUGAAAUAUUCUUUUGGCACGAUUGUCUACGAUUGUUAGCGGAUAUUAUUCUCAAGCUCGUACCAUCGCAACAAGUUCUCGUUUUAGGACGGACGACGAAACUCAUCGUCAGCACGUGGCGUGCCAGCGCAUCAGCCGCGAUUCGUCGCGAUUCCUCGGCGUAUUGCCUUGGAGAGAGAACUCGAGCGCAUCUUGCAUCCGUGUGAUAGCGACAUGGUCGAUUCUUACACCUGCGCCUGUACCGCAUGGGUCUCGAAAGAGAUCUCACGCAAAGUGAAAAGGCCCGUUGACGGCCACGCGUAUGCAUAAUGGGCCGAUUAUCCGGACAAAAGGCCGAUUUAUUCAUCUCGUUUAUCAUUCCCACUAUGCAAAGCGAUACACCUUGUGUCAGGUGUCGACGCUUCCACGCGCCGGGGAUAAAAUAGAGUACACGGGACGUUUGCUACAUCAGCCCCCCUCCUCUCUCUUGUUAGCUCGUUUUCCAGCUCUUCCUCGCGCAAUCUCAUUUCAUCGACAAGUAGGUGAAAGAAGUGACCAGGGACGACGUAGCGAAAUGGGACAAAAGCCGAAGAGGAGACCGGCUGUCACGGGAAGGACUGACGAUCCACAACAGAAGCAGUUGCCGGCGUCGUUGCUGUUCUUUUCAUCGUCCCCGCUUCCUCUGUGCAGGACGCACGAACCACGUGCGCGCGAGCGUCACACGAAACGACGUGGUGUGUGUGUGUGUGUGGUCGUAUGCGUGUGUAUGCUCUCACAGACGUUCACCCACACGAGGGAAACGUGGCGUCUCUGCCUCGGGGCUCAGGCGCCACUGUCUCCCUUCUCUCUAUCCCUCGGUUCCCUCACCAACCGCCCAUUUCCCGGCGUCGAUCCACGCUACUCAACCUUUUACCAACACACAACUCCGUCGGCCUGGCCGCACACUACGUUCUGGUACAGUGGCUGCCAUUAACGUAAGUGGCAGAGGCCAUGUGCGCGAGACUCUUCGUGUCCGCUUGAUUGCGAGUCCGUCGGGAAAGUCUUCGACGAGGAUCUAACGACGAUCGAUGACAUGAUCUAUGAGCCCCUCUACGACGUGGAAUCGUAGAGUUGUGAAAAGAAGAAAAGGUUCGGACGAAUCUGCUCCGAAAUAAUUCUUCGUAAAACUAAAGAAUUUUGACUUACACUAAAUCACUUUUACUUUACGAGAAUUUACUUUACCCACGAUCUUACGAUAUUAGAUCUCUUUGUAAAUUUGGAAUUACUUUUUUUGGGACGAAUUUUCGCGAAAGAAUAAAGAUGGAUCGUUUUAAAUCCAAGUUUAAUUAAGAUUCACGACCAAC